AACGAACGCUGGCGGCAUGCCUAACACAUGCAAGUCGAACGAGACCUUCGGGUCUAGUGGCGCACGGGUGCGUAACGCGUGGGAACCUGCCCUUAGGUUCGGAAUAACUCCCCGAAAGGGGUGCUAAUACCGGAUAAUGUCUUCGGACCAAAGAUUUAUCGCCUUUGGAUGGGCCCGCGUUGGAUUAGCUAGUUGGUAGGGUAAAAGCCUACCAAGGCGACGAUCCAUAGCUGGGCUGAGAGGAUGAUCAGCCACACUGGGACUGAGACACGGCCCAGACUCCUACGGGAAGCAGCAGUGGGGAAUAUUGGACAAUGGGCGAAAGCCUGAUCCAGCAAUGCCGCGUGAGUGAUGAAGGCCUUAGGGUUGUAAAGCUCUUUUACCCGGGAUGAUAAUGACAGUACCGGGAGAAUAAGCUCCGGCUAACUCCGUG
rnacentral:rRNA from 1 species